rnacentral:lncRNA from 10 species
GGUGGGACAUGUGCAUGUGCAUUUAUACCACUUAGGGAGCCACUGCACCCGGCUGAUAAGGAUGAUUUUACCCCCACAGAUUAGAAAGAAAAAUCAUCAGCUGAAAGAGUGAACAGCUUCUCUGUAGGUAAAUCAAGAUGAGUGUUGAGUAUAUGCAAGUGGGUAGAUUUGUGUGUGUGUCUAUAUGUUUGUGAAUAUGUGUGUUAGUGUGUUUUUGAGGAGGGGGCAGAUAUAAGAGAGGGAAGACAAGAAAAUUAAUGAAUCAUAGCCCCUCCCGUAUAAAAGACAAUCUCAAUACUUAGUAUCUAAGCUCACAAAGGCUCUUGGUAGAAACUCGUUCCAGACUCCUGCUGAAAGCCAGCUCUAGCUAGUUGAAUACCUAAAUGUAAAUAACAAAGGCAGUAAAAAUAUCAAAGCAUGCCCAAAUGCUGGAAAUAAAAAGUAUUUAAAGAAAGGAAACGUAAGACAUUGAACGGUAAGACUUUAAAACCACCAAGGAAAGAAAUGAGAUGCAGC